rnacentral:rRNA from 1 species
UAGAGGAAGUAAAAGUCGUAACAAGGUCUCCGUUGGUGAACCAGCGGAGGGAUCAUUAAAGAGUUGCAAAACUCCCAAACCAUUUGUUUAUCUACCUGUUUCGUUGCUUCGGCAGGCGGCUCUUCGGGGCCUUAGCCAUCCGUGGUGCCUGCCGGAGUAUCUAAAACUCUUGUUAAUUACUGUUCUGUCUGAGUAAACUUUUAAUAGUUAAAACUUUCAACAACGGAUCUCUUGGUUCUGGCAUCGAUGAAGAACGCAGCGAAAUGCGAUAAGUAAUGUGAAUUGCAGAAUUCAGUGAAUCAUCGAAUCUUUGAACGCACAUUGCGCCCAUUAGUAUUCUAGUGGGCAUGCCUGUUCGAGCGUCAUUUCAACCCUCAAGCUCUCUUGCUUGGUGUUGGGGCUUCUGCGGCUUCGGCCGCAGGCCCUGAAAAACAGUGGCGGGCUCGCUAUAACUCCGAGCGUAGUAAUCUCUCUCGCUUUGGAAGUGUGGCGGUUCCCGGCCGUUAAACCCCCCAAUUUUCUGAAUGUUGACCUCGGAUCAGGUAGGAAUACCCGCUGAACUUAAGCAUAUCA